rnacentral:rRNA from 1 species
CAAGACUUGCGCUUUUGGAGCGGCCGAUGUCUGAUUAGCUAGUUGGUGAGGUAAAGGCUUACCAAGGCUUCGAUCAGUAGCUGGUCUGAGAGGACGACCAGCCACACUGGGACUGAGACACGGCCCAGACUCCUACGGGAGGCAGCAGUGGGGAAUUUUGGACAAUGGGGGAAACCCUGAUCCAGCCAUGCCGCGUGAGUGAAGAAGGCCUUCGGGUUGUAAAGCUCUUUCAGCCGGAACGAAACGGUCACGGCUAAUACCUGUGAUCACUGACGGUACCGGAAGAAGAAGCACCGGCUAACUACGUGCCAGCAGCCGCGGUAAUACGUAGGGUGCGAGCGUUAAUCGGAAUUACUGGGCGUAAAGCGUGCGCAGGCGGUUUUGUAAGUCAGAUGUGAAAUCCCCGGGCUUAACCUGGGAACU